GACGAACGCUGGCGGCGUGCUUAACACAUGCAAGUCGAACGAGUGGCGAACGGGUGAGUAACACGUGGGUGACCUGCCCUGCACUUCGGGAUAAGCCUGGGAAACUGGGUCUAAUACCGGCUAGUGUGGGAUGGGCCCUCGGCAUAUCAGCUUGUUGGUGGGGUAAUGGCUACCAAGGCGCGACGGGUAGCCGGCCUGAGAGGAGGAUCAGCCACACUGGGACUGAGACACGGCCCAGACUCCUACGGGAGGCAGCAGUGGGUAAUAUUGCACAAUGGGCGCAAGCCUGAUGCAGCCAUGCCGCGUGUAUGAAGAAGGCCUUAGGGUUGUAAAGUACUUGCAGCGGGGAGGCGUUACCCGCAGAAGAAGCACCGGCUAACUCCGUGCCAGCAGCCGCGGUAAUUC
rnacentral:rRNA from 1 species